GAAUCUACAUCAUUAACCUUGGGAAGACAUGGGAAAAGCUCCAGAUGGCUGCCCGAGUUAUUGUCGGCAUUGAGAACCCUCAGGAUAUCAUUGUCCAAUCUGCUAGGCCUUAUGGUCAGAGAGCUGUGCUCAAGUUUGCUCAGUACACUGGUGCGCAUGCCAUUGCUGGCAGGCAUACUCCUGGUACCUUCACUAACCAGAUGCAGACCUCAUUCAGUGAGCCCCGUCUCUUGAUCCUUACCGACCCAAGGA
rnacentral:lncRNA from 1 species